ensembl:lncRNA
GGCUUGGGCAUCUUUUUCGGAUGCCUCCGGAACGCCUUCCUGGGAAGGUGUUCCGGUCCCGUCCCACCGGGAGGAGACCCCGGGGAAGACCUAGGACACGCUGGAGGGACUAUGUCUCCCGGCUGGCCUGGGAACGCCUCUGUGUCCCCCCGGAAGAGCUGGAGGAAGUGUCUGGGGAGAGGGAAGUCUGGGCAUCCCUGCUUAGACUGCUGCCCCCGCGACCCGGCCCCGGAUAAGCGGAAGAAGAUGGUAUGCUUGCAAAGGGCCUGACUCCAUCUCUGGACUUCCCGAUGAACGGUCAACCUCUCAAUGGAAGACAUGAGUGUUAAACCUGUGAAAACAUCGAGCAUCUUAUCAGUAAUAAGGGACCAUGGUCCUUCAGGAUGACAGCCCACCUGCUGACCUGUGUACAGAGGACAGUCUUGCCAGCAGGGUGUUUUCAAGGAGAGCCCAACAUAAGUCCAGUCUAAGAGAAGCCCUCCCCAGCCUGAGUGAGCUAAUUACUCCAGGCUCCUCCACAGACACUCAACAAACCACAGGUGCCAAACUCGUGUUUUACCUUAAAGUUCAGAAUGUGUUCUGUGUCCAUUGACAGCGCCAAUUGGCCACUCAUGGUGCUAUUUUUAUUUUACUACCAGAACAAUUUCAGCUUUUUAUAACUGCAAAGCCAAAUCGCAUUGAAAUGUUUACUCUUCCCUCCCCACCUGAGCCCUUUCUAAAGUCCUUGGUACCAAACGUAUACUCCAAGUCUAGAGUCAACAUUAGCAUAAAUUACUGGUGCAGCCUUGGUAUCGGGGUAAAGCACCAGUGGAAAUGCGGCAUGAGUGACCCCCCCAUCUCAGAAUAGGCCCUCUACAUCUUAAUCAACAACCUGACAAAAAUGUUUGCCCAGAUAGAAGUAGAACAGGUACUGCUCAGAGAGAAGGUGAACACAAGACAUCUGACUGAAGACAAACAGAGGACAAGAUGACUGUGAACCCACAGCACAGUUGUGAAACCCAAGAAAGAAUUGACUGAGCUCUCAGCAGAGGUGAGAGAGCUGGAGAGCGAUAUGGAGAACUGUAAGACAGAGGCAACGAUGUGCCUUCAAACCCAGUUGGACACUAUAGACCUGCCUGAAGCCAACACCAACCAAAUCUGAACUUAGACAUCACCUCCCACCACCACCGCACAACACCCCAACCAUACCACAAAUGCCACUCUACCCCAGCCCCAAAAUCUAACAGCCCCAAAUCUACUCCCUCCAGACCUGAGGACAGACAGGCUGACAUCAUCCUGCUGAUGGAUUCCAAUGGUAAAUUUACUCAAGAGAAACCCUUCCCUGAUCAAAAAACCAAAAGAUGUGGUGCCCUACAAACUGAAGUACAAUGGACCUCCUCAGUACGGCCCAGAUGAGAUCACCACAUUAUAAUACACACUGGGACCAAUGACCUGCGGGCACAGCAAGAGAGAGUGGCCACCUCCAGCGUCCCAACACAAAAAUAGUGGUGUCAGCCCUCCUCCUAAGAACAGAAUUCCACCCAACCACAUCCAGCGCAUGAACGCCAGCCUCUCCAGAGCCUGGGCCCUGAUACCAAAUGUACAGGUGCUGGUCGUAUAAUUAGAACAUCAUCAAAACGUUGAUUUAUUUCAGUAAUUCCAUUCAAAAAGUGAAACAUGUAUAAUGU